rnacentral:tRNA from 1 species
GCCCAGAAAGCUUAUUAAAUCAAGCCCUGGUCUUGUAAACCAAAGAUAGGAAACUAAAAUCUUCCUCCGGGCAACC